UACGGAGGAUGCAAGCGUUAUCCGGAAUUAUUGGGCGUAAAGAGCGCGCAGGUGGUUGAUUAAGUCUGAUGUGAAAGCCCACGGCUUAACCGUGGAGGGUCAUUGGAAACUGGUCGACUUGAGUGCAGAAGAGGGAAGUGGAAUUCCAUGUGUAGCGGUGAAAUGCGUAGAGAUAUGGAGGAACACCAGUGGCGAAGGCGGCUUCCUGGUCUGUAACUGACGCUGAGGCGCGAAAGCCAGGGGAGCAAACGGGGAUUAGAUA
rnacentral:rRNA from 1 species